UUGUGUUUGAGGUAGGAGAGCAUUGUAGCGGCAUUGAAGAUGUAUUGUAAGAUAUGUUGGAGCUUCUACAAGAGAAUAUGCUAGCAUGAGUAGCGAUAAUGCAGGUGAGAAACCUGCACACCGAAAACCUAAGGUUUCCUGAGUAAAGAUAAUCUUCUCAGGGUUAGUCGACCCCUAAGGUGAGUCCGGGUUAACCGGGGUAGCUGAUGGGAAUCAGGUUAAUAUUCCUGAACCUGUUAUAUUCAGUGAUGGAGUGACGCAGUGGUGAGAUGGAGACACCGACUGGAAGUGGUGUUGA
rnacentral:rRNA from 1 species